rnacentral:rRNA from 1 species
UACGUAGGGGGCAAGCGUUUGUCCGGAUUUAUUGGGCGUAAAAGGCUUGUAGGUGGCCACGCCAAGUCGGAUGUGAAAUCUCCCGGCUCAACGUGGGAGGGUCAUUCGAUACUGGCGGGCUCGAGGCCGGUAGGGGGGAAGUGGAAUUCCCCGGUGUAGUGGUGGAAUGCGUAGAUAUCGGGAGGAACACCAGUGGCGAAGGCGGCUUCCUGGACCGGUUCUGACACUGAGGAGCGAAAGCGUGGGGAGCGAUCCGG